AAAUCCUGACUAGUAAUGGAAAGGAUGGAUUUAUUACAUACAAAAACCAAUGCAUUAAAUUGUUAAAGAUUUAAUGGAAUCUUAUUGGUGAUUCAUAAUAACUUUACGAAUCGUUCUGCUUAGUGCUGGCGAUAAUUCAUUCAAAUUUCUGCCCUAUCAACUUUCGAUGGUAGUAUAGAGGACUACCAUGGUGGUAACGGGUAACGGAGAAUCAGGGUUUGAUUCCGGAGAAGGAGCCUGAGAAACGGCUACUACUUCUAAGGAAGGCAGCAGGCGCGCAAAUUACCCAAUCCCGACACGGGGAGGUAGUGACAAAAAAUAACAAUAUCGAUAAAUUAUUUUAUUGAUAAUUGGAAUGAGUACAAUCUAAAUCCCUUAACGAGUAACAAUUGGAGGGCAAGUCUGGUGCCAGCAGCCGCGGUAAUUCCAGCUCCAAUAGCAUAUAUUAAAGUUGUUGCAGUUAAAAAGCUCGUAGUUGGAUUUUAAGGUAUCCCGUUUAGGUUUACUUAAAAGAGUAUAAUUUUAUUAAUAACUCUCCUUACUAGAUAUUCACAAUUAUUUUUAAUUAAAUAGUUGGUUUUAUUCGAAAGGAUAAAAUGCUUAAUAGGUCUGGGAAUUAAGAUGUGGUUUAUUUACGAGGCAACUUGUUGAAUAAAUCUGCUUAAUUAACAACUUCAAAGUAGAAUUCUAGUUCAUUUACUUUGAGUAAAUUAGAGUGUUCAAAGCAAACAAAUUAUUUUGUAAUGAAUACUAUUAGCAUGGGAUAAUGGAACAAGACAUUGGGUCUAUUUUGUUGGUUUUCUAGAACAAAUGAAUGAUUAAAAGGGAUAGUUGGGGGCAUUAGUAUUUAAUUGUCAGAGGUGAAAUUCUUGGAUUUAUGAAAGACUAACUUCUGCGAAAGCAUUUGUCAAAGAUGUUUUCAUUAAUCAAGAACGAAAGUUAGGGGAUCGAAGACGAUCAGAUACCGUCGUAGUCUUAACCAUAAACUAUGCCGACCAGGGAGGCAUCGUAGAUUUUUUUGGGUAUUACUCUCUCAGCACCUUUUUACGAGAAAUCAAAAGUUUUUGGGUUCUGGGGGGAGUAUGGUCGCAAGGCUGAAACUUAAAGGAAUUGACGGAAGGGCACCACCAGGAGUGGAGCCUGCGGCUUAAUUUGACCCAACACGGGAAAACUUACCAGGUCCAGACACAGUUAGGAUUGACAGAUUGAGAGCUCUUUCUUGAUUCUGUGGGUGGUGGUGCAUGGCCGUUCUUAGUUGGUGGAGUGAUUUGUCUGGUUAAUUCCGAUAACGAACGAGACCUCAGCCUGCUAAUUAGUUGUAUUAAUAAUCACACUGUUGAGGCCCCUCGUUCAAACUUUAGAAAACUCGUUUUCAUUGAUAUUAUGCUGCUUCUGUAGUAUUUUUACUUCUUAGAGGGACACUUGGUGUUUAACCAAGGGAAGUUUGAGGCAAUAACAGGUCUGUGAUGCCCUUUAGAUGUUCUGGGCUGCACGCGCGCUACACUGAUACAAUCAACAAGCACAAAAGACCUCGGCUGAAAAGACUGGGUAAACUUAUGAAAUCGUAUCGUGCUGGGGAUCGAUAAUUGCAAUUAUUUAUCGUGAACGAGGAAUUCCUAGUAAGCACAAGUCAACAGCUUGUGCUGAUUACGUCCCUGCCCUUUGUACACACCGCCCGUCGCUCCUACCGAUGUUUAAUGGUGCGGUGAAUUCUUAUGAUUGAGAACAGUUAUUGAUU
rnacentral:rRNA from 1 species